ensembl:lncRNA novel transcript, sense intronic to OLFML3
CACUGACUCUCUUUUUGGACUUAGCCCACCUGCACCCAGGGGAAAUAAACAGCCUUGUUGCUCACACAAAGCCUGUUUGGUGGUCUCUUCACACGGACGUGUGUGACAAGGAACACCCUCCUUGAGCACAGGGGGAGGGUGAAUAUCAGAACUGAAUCUGACUUCUGACAACAUAGGAGCUGAAGGGACCUUGGAUGUUGGGUAAGCAGUUCCCACUGUCUGUCACAAGCCCUAAUAAAAUACAAGUAAGAGAAAAGAACAAAACUGGGGCAAUCUAAUCAAGAAAGGCUUUCUGGAAUGCAUGAGGCCCCAGCGAGAUCUAAAAUUCCUAGAUGGACUUGGUGUUGUGGAAGCAAGACAGCAGUCGGGCAAAGGAGAGACAGGAAGCAAAUGAAUUCUACCUUGCCAACAAUGGGAAACAGACAUACUUAAUGUGAGUAGAGAGGUAGCCUUGGCCAGGAAAGUUUGUUUGAAGAUCCUGGUCUGUCUUGACUUUAAAUCACUUGCCUUUGGAAUGGAAGAGAACAGACAUCUCAUCAAAUGAACCAAUCUGAAUGCAAGGAGCACCCGAAUCCAUCCCCACUCAGGAAUCCUGGUUACAGAUGCUAAAAGAUGUCUUUGACAGUGAACAGUGGGUCAUAAGAUCUAUUUCUGCCUCCUGUCUGUGACUCACUGGAUGACUCAAGGUGAAUCUCUCCCCAUUUCUGAGUAUCUGGCCCCCAUCCAUGAAGAACAGAAGAUCACAUCAGUAUUUCCCUUCGGCAAGGUUGGCCCCCGCUGCAGCAACUGUGCAAAGACCACCAGACUGCCCUCUCUGCCAGCUUACUCUUCAGCCUUUCUGGCUCUUUCUCCCACUUCCACAUCCCUGCUUCAUUUUUCUUUUUCUCCUUUUGCAAAUAGCAUUGCUCCAAAGCAACCCAGGCACGUGUCUUGGGGACAGCGCUGCGAGCUACCCCUGAGCUGUGGGGAGCAGGCCCAAGAUUGUUUGCUAUUAGCAACUCCUGUUUGCAGGAUAAAUAAAGCGAACCUGAGUGCAGGCUCCUGUGGGCUGGGACAUUUUCAUUCUGCAGCAGGUCAGCUUCCAUUCCACUAGGGGGCUUUGAAUGUUAAUAGGCAUUUCUUUCCAGGUACCCUUCUCCUUUCUCUACAGUGCACCAGUCCCUGUGGGACCUUCCAUUGGCAUCCUACGGAGAGAUUAUUACUCUUUUCAUUGUUUUCCUUACAAAUUAGUUUCUGGAUUUAAUGGCUUUGGUUGCUGAGCAGAUUUUGGAAAUUGGGGCAGAUGGUGGGGUGGGGUGAUCUGCAGAGCCCAUUAUGGGCACUGGGUUAUUGACUGCUUGGGAUUUAAGGUGGAAUUAACGCUUUCCUGUUUCUUGGGGAAUUUUGCGAUGGGGUUGGACCUUCUUUUCCCUUAGAAGGAAUUGUGUUUGUUGUUAUUGCAUGUUUAAGAAGCUUCUAGAAAUUGUAGCUCUGGAAUACAAUAGGUAGAGAAUGCAGGUUUUUAAUGGGAUGUGGGGGAGUGUUGCUCAGUUGUGGGAAGAUUUGUAAUAAUGGUUGGGACUGGGGAUAGAGCGUUACCUGAGGACGGUUUUAUUAAUGCCACAAAGCAUAAAGUUUAAAAAAAAAGAAAAAAGAAAAUCCAGGGGUGUCUUACUGUCAGAAGCUUUGGAACCAUGUUGAAUAGGUGCUGGGUAAAAUGAGACUGAGACCUGCUGGGCUGCAUUCCCAGGAGGUUAGGGAUUCGCAGUCACAGGGUGUUUACAGUUAAGGGAACAGGUUAAUAAUGUUUACCAAACAGACCCAGGACUUAACAGACCCAAGAAAUGUCUUGAUGUCCUGCUAUCUUAAGCACAAAAGCAUUCUUUGUUUAGUAAUAAAUUUUGCUUUAAAGAUAGUAAUAUAGAUUCUUGCAAAAGUCAGUAGUUACACAAGGAUUAACAAUCCUUUGUCAUGAGCCCUUGUAAUAGACCACAUCCUUUUCAUGAUUUUUUGCCUUGUUAUCUCAUAUAUAAACAUGCAUUGCACCUAAUAAGGUGGGCGCCUUACUCCUCUUGCUUUCAGAAAUGCCCUGCUCAGUCCAUGGAGCAACCAUUCUUUCAUUCCUUUACUUUCUUAAUAAACUUGCUUUCACUUUA